ACGAACCUGCCGCACACCGCUCUAACGAAUUCCGAGCAUUUCGGAACGAUUUCCCGUCUCUUCCUUAAGCCGAGGCUGGCCGAUUUCUUCAAGAAUCGAGCCGAAUUUCGAAGAGCGGAACUUGUUGUACUACCUUUGGAGUAGCCUCUUUCGAGAAGGUAAUUAUCCAAGGCAAAUGGUUCUUGUUGCUCUUGAAGAAAUUCCACUAGCAAUUUAGACAUGUUUUCGGG
rnacentral:lncRNA from 1 species